UCCUUGUUUUUAUAACAUAAUUUGAGUAUCUAUAUCGAUUUGUUUUUAUCUUUUUUUACUGAAUCAAUUUGUUUUUAUCUGCUUUAAGAAAAUGGUGGAAUUAGGAACAAUUGAAAUCACAGUGAUUAAAGAUACAAUGGUCAUGAGAAUGAGUUGUAAGAAUCAUGUCACUAUUUUCUUUUCCAUGCGAGUUUUUUUUUUUUUAAGAAAUAUAGAACAAAAUAUCCUAGAUAAUAUUUAUAUUUCGCAACAUUUAUUUUGUAUGUUUCUUCUCUAAUAGGUCCAUUUCACUGGUUUUUUUUUAUAAAAGCAUAUAGUAUUUGGAGAAAAUUCAAAAACAUUAGUUGAUUUUAAAAACUCGAGAUUUACUGACCUUAAUCAAGUAGAUUAUUAAUGUGUCAGACAAAGAAAAUCUUUUCUUUAGUUUUUAUUUAUUUUUUGAAACUUACUUUUUCUUUAGUUCAGGUUGUAGAAAAACAACAGUCGUAAAAAGAAAAGUAUGUAGUCCUAGAUUAUCUAUUUUCACGUAUAGUAGAGACCUUGACAAAUUUGCCUGCCCCAACCCAAAUACACUAUGAGGACGAUUCAGUUUCUGAAAAAGUGAAUGGCAAAUCCAUUAGCUGUGAUGUCAAGUUAGACACAAUAAAUAACAAAAAUAAGGAUAAAUAUAAUAUAUUUUUGUCAUCGGAUAUAUAUAAUCUAUUAGAUCCAAAUAAAAUGAAUGAGGAAAAAUGACCUUAUUUUCCUCCACCAAAGUGUUAAAAAUACAAUAAAGUGAAAUGGGAAGAGCUUAUCCUCAUAUGCUUGUGUGUUUGUGUUGUAUUAUCACACAGAUUAAUUUUCUUAAAUAAUAGUAUUGAUGACUAAUGUUGCUCAAGGAUAGCUCAUGCAUCUAACGAAUUCAGUGACUUUUUAUGUGAAUUCAGUACCGCUUGCAUUUGAAAAAAAAAAAAAAUAGAAUAGGUUGUUGUAUGAUGUUAUCAGCCUAAUGUCAAUGUGUAAGAACGUAUACUCUGCUUCUGAUGUUCUGAAUAUAAGGAGAUUGGAUACUUUAAAAAUUUUGGUAUAUAGAACAUGAGAAUCCUGGGAUGAAAAUCAGAAAAUAUACUUGCUUGAAAUCACUUUGUUUAAGAAGUCUGAUCUUAAAUUUACUUUUUGAACAAUAUCGAUUCUGAAACGCUUAGUAUAUCAAACGAAAUCUUUGAAUGUUUUUCUUCCUCAUCAACCAGCAAAGAAAACAAAAAACAGAGUUCGGUCUCGAAAUCACAAUCCCUCCAGACACGAUAAAUAAUUGAGAUUUCUUCCCUUUCGACACCUCAAAUGUCCAAGCACAACCUUCUUUGACUGUUGAGUUCUCC
rnacentral:lncRNA from 1 species